rnacentral:rRNA from 1 species
AACGGGUGGUAAUGCCGGAUGCUCCGACUCCUCGCAUGGGGUGUCGGGAAAGAUUUCAUCGGUAUGGGAUGGGGUCGCGUCCUAUCAGGUAGUCGGCGGGGUAACGGCCCACCGAGCCUACGACGGGUAGCCGGCCUGAGAGGGCGACCGGCCACAUUGGGACUGAGAUACGGCCCAGACUCCUACGGGAGGCAGCAGUGGGGAAUAUUGCACAAUGGGCGCAAGCCUGAUGCAGCGACGCCGCGUGCGGGAUGACGGCCUUCGGGUUGUAAACCGCUUUUGAUCGGGAGCAAGCCUUCGGGUGAGUGUACCCUUCGAAUAAGCACCGGCUAACUACGUGCCAGCAGCCGCGGUAAUACGUAGGGUGCAAGCGUUAUCCGGAAUUAUUGGGCGUAAAGGGCUCGUAGGCGGUUCGUCGCGUCCGGUGUGAAAGUCCAUCGCUUAACGGUGGAUCUGCGCCGGGUACGGGCGGGCUGGAGUGCGGUAGGGGAGACUGGAAUUCCCGGUGUAACGGUGGAAUGUGUAGAUAUC